GACGAACGCUGGCGGCGUGCUUAACACAUGCAAGUCGAACGGUAAGGCCCUUCGGGGUACACGAGUGGCGAACGGGUGAGUAACACGUGGGUGAUCUGCCCUGCACUUCGGGAUAAGCCUGGGGAAACUGGGUCUAAUACCGGAUAGGUCCACUGCCUGCAUGGGUGGUGGUGGAAAGCUUUUGCGGUGUGGGAUGGGCCCGCGGCCUAUCAGCUUGUUGGUGGGGUGAUGGCCUGCCAAGGCGACGACGGGUAGCCGGCCUGAGAGGGUGACCGGCCACACUGGGACUGAGAUACGGCCCAGACUCCUACGGGAGGCAGCAGUGGGGAAUAUUGCACAAUGGGCGCAAGCCUGAUGCAGCGACGCCGCGUGAGGGAUGACGGCCUUCGGGUUGUAAACCUCUUUCAGCACCGACGAAGCGCAAGUGACGGUAGGUGCAGAAGAAGGACCGGCCAACUACGUGCCAGCCGCCGCAGUAA
rnacentral:rRNA from 1 species